AUUGUCGAAGGGUUCAUGUGCACUUUAAAAGCUAAUUCAACUAACAACUUCACAGAGCAGGAAAGGACUUACGAGCCGCAGAAUAUCCUAGCCUUAAUGAAGAGUUUUACUUAUCAUGAGUACAACACAUGAUAACGAAAAACUAAAAGGGUGUUUUUAUCAAUUGUAAUAUAAUUCAGUUGCACUGAAAAACUAAUAAAGACCCUCUGAGCGGAUUCUUAUUCAUGGCAAAGCGUAGCAGUUAGGAUGAAUAAUUAGCGGGAAAACUACAGCGUUUUAUGAAGGAAAAUUUAACCAAUGCUGCUAGAGUGAUAAAGCGUUCGUGAUUCACAACGUCAACCUUCUCAGUGUUCUCAAUCACGACCCAGGAGACUCGAAACCGACUACUCAUAACUGUUCACGAAGCCGGCAAAACUGCCUUUUCAGUCUACCAGUAUAGACUCGCAUAGUGGAUAUGAACUCAGAAGCGUGCAGUUUAAUUUCCUUUCGUUUCUGUCACUAGACUGUCAGUUCUGUGGUAUUGUGGUAGAUCUAACGUGUUGUUUCAUGAUCUUUUAUUAUUUAAUGAGAUACGCUAAUAGUUGGAUGCUUUGUUUUCAGUAAAUAUGCAUGCUGAAGACCUGUUAGCUUUUAGUCUGUUGACUCAUCUGCUUUGUUUGAGUGCUGAAUAAACUCUACUGAUGGUUUAACUA